AAAAGGAGCAGAGACGCAGACCUUCAUCCCAGCCCCGCAGGAACAUCGUGGGAUGCAGAAUUUCUCAAGGAUGGAAAGAAGGAGAUGAGCCCAUCACCCAGUGGAAAGGAACCGUUCUGGAUCAGAACUGAACACCUGAACCAUGGAGGUCAGCCUUGCACCUCUUCAGCCUGACAUUCCUGUUUGGGGUUGAUCAAUUUCAACUUAAUAUGAAAUGGUGAGAAGAGCUCAGCAAGCCUUGCUUGUGAAAGGCUUAUACCAAGGGAGAAAUUGCUGGACCAUAUGGUAAUUCUAUGUCUGUUUGAGGAAUUCCAGAGUGCUUAUCAAAGUGACUGUGAAAAUUUAUGUUCCCACAUGCGGUAUAUGAAGAGUCCAAUUUCUCUAAAUGUUCAACAACUGUUAUUAGACUUUUACGUUCUUACCAUUUUAGUGUGUUUGAUGUGUUACCUUAUUGUGUUUUACUUUGAAUUUCCCUGAUGACUAAUGACGCUAAGCAAAAUGUUCUGAACUUAUUGGCUAUUUGUGUAUCUUCCUUGGAGAAAUAUCUGUUCAGAUGAUUUACUUAUUUUUGGUGAAUUAUAAGAAUUCUUUAUGUAUAUUUUAUACAAGUCCCACAUCAGCUACAUGAGAGGCAAAUACUUUCUCCCUAUCUAUGGGUUUGCCUUUCAGUUUCUUGAGAGUGUGCUUUCAAGCAUAAGUGGUUCUAAUUUUGAUGAGGCUGAAUUAAUCUUUUUUUUUAUAUUUGUGGCUCAUGCUUUUGUGGGUUUUUUUAUAACUUUCAUUUUAGGUUCAGAGGUAUAUGUGUAAGUUUGUAAUACAGGUAAACUAUAUGUCAUAGGGGUUUGGUGUGCAAAUUAUUUCAUCACCGAGGUAAUAAGCAUAGUACUGAAUAGGUACUUUGUUAAUCCUCUCCCUCCGCUCACCCUCCACUCUCAAGUAUGCCACAGUGUCUAUAGUUCCCUUCUUUGUGUCCAUCUCUACUCAGUGUUUAGCUCCCACUUAUAAGGGAGAACAUGCAGUAUUUGGUUUUCUGUUCCUACGUUAGCUUGCUUAGGAUAAUGGCCCCCAGCUCAAUCCACAUUGCUACAAAGGACAUGACCUCAUUCCUUUUUAUGGCUAGGUAGUAUUGCAUGGUUUAUAUGUCCCCAAUAUUCGAAUUUUCUAGGUGACCCAAAGUGUGACAUUUAAUUUCUUUAAUAAUUUUUUUAUUUUCAUAGGUUUUGGGGGAACAGGUGGUGGUUCAUUACAUGAGUAAGUUCUUUAGUGGUGAUUUGUGAGAUUUUGGUGCACCCAUCACCCAAGCAGUAAACACUUAACCCAAUUUGUAGUAUUUUAUCAUUUAUGCCCCACUCCAACUCUUUCCCCAGACUCCAUUGUCCCCAGACUCCAUUGUAUCAUUCUUAUGCCUUUGCAUCCCCAUAGCUUAGCUCCCACUUAUGAAUGAGAACAUACAAUGUUUGGUUUUCCAUUCCUGAG